UACGAAGGGAGCUAGCGAUGUUCGGAAUCACUGGGCGUAAAGCGCACGUAGGCGGAUGUGUCAGUCAGGGGUGAAAUCCCGGGGCUCAAACUCGGAACUGCCUCUGAUACAGCACGUCUCGAGUCCGGAAGAGGUGGGUGGAAUUCCUAGUGUAGAGGUGAAAUUCGUAGAUAUUAGGAAGAACACCGGUGGCGAAGGCGGCCCACUGGUCCGGUUCUGACGCUGAGGUGCGAAAGCGUGGGGAGCAAACAGG
rnacentral:rRNA from 1 species